rnacentral:rRNA from 1 species
UACGAAGGGGGCUAGCGUUGCUCGGAAUGACUGGGCGUAAAGGGCGCGUAGGCGGAAUGCUUUGUCAGAGGUGAAAUCCCGAGGCUCAACUUCGGAAUUGCCUUUGAAACGGGAUCGCUUGAGUCCGAGAGAGGAUGGCGGAAUUCCUAGUGUAGAGGUGAAAUUCGUAGAUAUUAGGAAGAACACCGGUGGCGAAGGCGGCCAUCUGGCUCGGUACUGACGCUCAGGCGCGAAAGCGUGGGGAGCAAACAGG